GUCUCGCUUGGUUGCUACUCAACACAUGUCAAAUAUUGCUAGCUUGCUACGUUGUGCGGAGGUAAUCCCUUGAGGUUUCUUGGGUGGAGAACCCAAACUUGUCUGCCAGUGAGUUCCUUCACGCUCAUUGUGUGAAAAUACAUGAUGGGAACCAAUGCAAUUUUCGUUCUUGUACCGGAUAGCGAGUUUUUCACGUUUGGAGAACGUCUACGCCUAGUUAAUGAAGAACCCAGAUUGAGUGAAUUCAGAAGUGGUUCUCAUUUGAGAUAAAUCGACCGUUUUUGGGUCAUGUUGGGUCGCUACUGCAAGCGGGCAGCCCCUACCCUUUUAACCCCAAAGGAAAGAAGUCAUGCGUUGAGGGUGCAAGACAAAACAGUGGACCAUGAACGCGCUAGUUGCGAUUCUAUUUUCUCCAAUAGUACUUUCCCUUCCACAACUACGUGUUGGGCAGCCAAGGAAAUCAAGAGAAUCCAAUAUCUAUUCAAGAUUUGUGAAUGUGGAGUUAUCGAAUGUUGGGCAUGAGGAGGAUUUACUAUGUGAAGAUUGAUGGUCUAGAUAGGUGAUGACAUUUAUGAGGAUGAGACUGCAGAACAAGACUUGAUCCCGGG